rnacentral:rRNA from 1 species
GACGAACGCUGGCGGCGUGCUUAACACAUGCAAGUCGAACGAUGAAGCCCUUCGGGGUGGAUUAGUGGCGAACGGGUGAGUAACACGUGGGCAAUCUGCCCUUCACUCUGGGACAAGCCCUGGAAACGGGGUCUAAUACCGGAUAACACUCCUCAGAGCAUUCUGGGGGGUUAAAAGCUCCGGCGGUGAAGGAUGAGCCCGCGGCCUAUCAGCUUGUUGGUGGGGUAAUGGCCUACCAAGGCGACGACGGGUAGCCGGCCUGAGAGGGCGACCGGCC